rnacentral:rRNA from 1 species
GGGCCCGCACAAGCGGUGGAGUAUGUGGUUUAAUUCGAUGCAACGCGAAGAACCUUACCAGGGUUUGACAUCCUGCGAAUCUCUUGGAAACAGGAGAGUGCCUUCGGGAACGCAGUGACAGGUGGUGCAUGGCUGUCGUCAGCUCGUGCCGUGAGGUGUCAGGUUAAGUCCUAUAACGAGCGCAACCCCUGUGGUUAGUUGCCAGCGAGUAAUGUCGGGAACUCUAGCCAGACUGCCGGUGCAAACCGCGAGGAAGGUGGGGAUGACGUCAAAUCAUCACGGCCCUUACGCCCUGGGCCACACACGUGCUACAAUGGCAGGUACAGCAAGCAGCCACUCCGCGAGGAGGAGCGAAUCUGUAAAGCCUGUCACAGUUCGGAUCGGAGUCUGCAACUCGACUCCGUGAAGUUGGAAUCGCUAGUAAUCG